rnacentral:rRNA from 1 species
UACGUAGGGUGCGAGCGUUAAUCGGAAUUACUGGGCGUAAAGCGCACGUAGGCGGAUGUGUCAGUCAGGGGUGAAAUCCCGGAGCUCAACUUCGGAACUGCCCUUGAUACAGCACGUCUUGAGUCCGGAAGAGGUGGGUGGAAUUCCUAGUGUAGAGGUGAAAUUCGUAGAUAUUAGGAAGAACACCGGUGGCGAAGGCGGCCCACUGGUCCGGUACUGACGCUGAGGUGCGAAAGCGUGGGGAGCAAACAGG